rnacentral:rRNA from 1 species
GAUGAACGCUAGCGACAGGCUUAACACAUGCAAGUCGAGGGGCAGCGGGGGCACUGGUUCGCCAGUGCCUGCCGGCGACCGGCGCACGGGUGAGUAACACGUAUGCAACCUGGCCUCUGCAGGGGGAUAACCGGUGGAAACACCGCCUAAUACCCCGCGACGCCACCCCGGGGCAUCCCGGGGCGGCCAAAGGAGCGAUCCGGCGGAGGAUGGGCAUGCGGCGCAUUAGCUGGUCGGCGGGGUGACGGCCCACCGAGGCGACGAUGCGUAGGGGUUCUGAGAGGAAGGUCCCCCACACUGGUACUGAGACACGGACCAG